rnacentral:rRNA from 1 species
GACGAACGCUGGCGGCGUGCUUAACACAUGCAAGUCGAACGGAAAGGCCCUGCUUGUUUGGGGUGCUCGAGUGGCGAACGGGUGAGUAACACGUGAGUAACCUGCCCUUGACUUUGGGAUAACUUCAGGAAACUGGGGCUAAUACCGGAUAGGAUCUCCUGCUGCAUGGUGGGGGUUGGAAAGUUUCGGCGGUUGGGGAUGGACUCGCGGCUUAUCAGCUUGUUGGUUGGGUAGUGGCUUACCAAGGCUUUGACGGGUAGCCGGCCUGAGAGGGUGACCGGCCACAUGGGGACUGCGGUACGGACCAGACUCCUACGGGAGGCAGCAGUGGGGAAUAUUGCACAAUGGGAGGAAGCCUGAUGAAGCAACGCCGCGUGCGGGAUGACGGCCUGUGGGUUGUAAACCGCUUUAGCCUGUGACGAAGCGUGAGUGACGGUAAUGGGUAAAGAAGCACCGGCUAACUACGUG